rnacentral:rRNA from 1 species
UACGUAGGGACCAAGCGUUGUCCGGAAUCAUUGGGCGUAAAGAGCGUGUAGGCGGCUUGUUAAGUCUUGCGUGAAAUCUCGGGGCUCAACCCCGAGCGGUCGUGAGAAACUGGCAGGCUAGAGUGCGGGAGAGGAGAGUGGAAUUCCUGGUGUAGCGGUGAAAUGCGCAGAUAUCAGGAAGAACACCGGUGGCGAAGGCGGUUCUCUGGGCAUGUCCUGACGCUGAGGAGCGAAAGUGUGGGGAGCGAACAGG